rnacentral:rRNA from 1 species
UACGUAGGGUGCAAGCGUUGUCCGGAAUUAUUGGGCGUAAAGAGCUCGUAGGCGGUCUGUUGCGUCGGCUGUGAAAACCCGGGCUCAACCCGGGCCUGCAGCCGAUACGGCAGACUAGAGUUCGGCAGGGGAGACUGGAAUUCCUGGUGUAGCGGUGAAAUGCGCAGAUAUCAGGAGGAACACCGGUGGCGAAGGCGGCCAUCUGGACGACAACUGACGCUGAGAUGCGAAAGCGUGGGGGGAGCAAACAGG